CCUACGGGAGGCAGCAGUGGGGAAUCUUGGACAAUGGGCGCAAGCCUGAUCCAGCCAUGCCGCGUGAGUGAUGAAGGCCCUAGGGUCGUAAAGCUCUUUCGCCAGGGAUGAUAAUGACAGUACCUGGUAAAGAAACCCCGGCUAACUCCGUGCCAGCAGCCGCGGUAAUACGGAGGGGGUUAGCGUUGUUCGGAAUUACUGGGCGUAAAGCGCACGUAGGCGGAUCGGAAAGUUGGGGGUGAAAUCCCGGGGCUCAACCCCGGAACUGCCUCCAAAACUAUCGGUCUAGAGUUCGAGAGAGGUGAGUGGAAUUCCGAGUGUAGAGGUGAAAUUCGUAGAUAUUCGGAGGAACACCAGUGGCGAAGGCGGCUCACUGGCUCGAUACUGACGCUGAGGUGCGAAAGUGUGGGGAGCAAACAGGAUUAGAUACCCUGGUAGUCCACACCGUAAACGAUGAAUGCCAGUCGUCGGGUAGCAUGCUAUUCGGUGACACACCUAACGGAUUAAGCAUUCCGCCUGGGGAGUACGGUCGCAAGAUUAAAACUCAAAGGAAUUGACGGGGUAAUCCGCA
rnacentral:rRNA from 1 species